AUGACUGUCUCAGUGAGAUUAUUGUGUUAUUGCUUUUUCUCUCAUUUAAACGUUCCAUGCAGAAGUCUGUUAAACAGAGUGGAUGUUUGCAUGCAGAAGUCUGUUAAACAGAGCGGAUGUUUGCAUGCAGAAGUCUGUUAAACAGAGCGGAUGUUUGCAUGCAGAAGUCUAUUAUCAGUUGUUAGCCUGUUUUCACUAGAUUGCCUUAUGCAGUGAGGAAUUCCAUGUGCAGUGGCUUUACUGUGAUUCCUGUUUUACUUUUUAAACUCCGGUACAGAUUUACAUGCAUCAGAUCUCCACCAAUCAGCAGUUUUACAUGCAUCAUAUCUCCACCAAUCAGCAGAUUUACAUGCAUAAGAUCCCCCACCAAUCAGCAGGUUUACAUGCAUUAGAUCUCCACCAAUCAGCAGGUUUACAUGCAUCAGAUCUCUGGUUUCUUUAAGGUUAAUAUGUUCUUGAAGAACAUCAAAAGGCUAAAUUGGAGUUUUUUUAAUCAACUUUUAACCAUGCAAGGUGUAUAUGAUCAACAUUUGUACGUACUGAACAAUGGAGUGCCAGCCUAGCCGCUUGGUUUUGUUCUAACUGAAGUUUAUUUAUUUAUUUUUUUUUUUGCGGACGACCAUAUGACUGGGCAGUACUGUAGGUGAGACAGGACCAGUGACUGAAUGACCUGAUUUAGUGUGGAUGAUGUUAAAUAAGAGAAGCAUUUCCAUAUCAUGCAGAUUCCUUUUCCCAUCUUGCUUAUAAUAUUUUCUAUAUGUUCUGACAAAGUCAAUAAGCCAUCUAAUGUUACUUCCAGAAGCUUGGUUAUUUUAACCUCUUCAACAGGCACCACUGACAUGGUCAGUUUCAGUUGUGGGUCACAGGCCAGUGUGGACCUUGAACCAAAAGCUAUACACUUUGUUUUAGAGAUGUUUAAAACCAAUCUAUUACUCUCCACCCAUGCAGACACUAGACCUAAUUCCCUAUUCAGGACCUUGGUCAGUUCUUCACAAGUUGAAGCAGCACUGUACAGAGUAGAGUCAUCUGCAUACAUUACUACACUUGCUACUUUUAUAGCAGAAGGUAAAUCAUUGGUAAAUAUUGAGAACAGAAGUGGACCUAGCUGCAGCUUCCCUGUGGAAUACCGCAGUUUAUGUUUUUGCUGUCUGAAAAGCUUCUGUUGAAGAAGACUCCUUGUGAUCUAUUGGACAGAUAGCUGUCCAUCCAAGAGAGGGAGGUUGAGUCGAAGCCAUAACACCUUAGUUUACCUAUCAGUACCUUGUGGUCAAUAACGUCGAAGGCAGUGCUAAAGUCUAAUAAUACUGCUCCGACUAUUUUCUUACUAUCCAUAUGUUUUAACCAAUCGUCUGCCAUUUGAGCUAAUGCAGUACUUGUAGAGUGAGUCUCUCUGUAUGCGUGCUGAGAACCAGUCAUUAACCUGUUACCUAAAAAAUAAUCCUUAAUUUGCAUAAAAACAAAUCUUUCCAAUAAUUUGCUUAAUACAGGGAAACUACUUAUUGGGCGACUAUUGUAGCCCAUAAUAACUUAACAGAACUAUAAUAAACACCUGUGACAGGGAACAGGGGUCUAAGGUCAUGUGACUUUGAUAUACUGAAAACAGCAGCAACAACAGCAGCACAUUACUGUCACCAAGACCACUGAUCAGAGGCAGAUCUUUAACUCUGUUAUCAGGAAGGAGAGUUUCACAACAGGCACAACAUUCUGAAAUCCUGAAGUAAAUGUAUGUUACAGCUAUCUGAAUGGUUACACUGUGUAAUUAGGAAGCUAAAUUUAAGUAUAUUUCUAAUUUGUUCUUUGUAAAAUUAAACAGACACGAGACUUCUCUACUGUAAUGUGAUUAUAUGCUGUCUUUGUUUGUAUCAUAUUUGUGUUCAUAACUGUUCUAACCUGUUACCAUUCCAAAGCCCCUAAAAGUCCAUGUGCACCGGUUAUAACAGGUCUUAAAUAAAUCCUCAUAUCCUCAUAAGUACAGACAGUACAGGCACAGUCAGAGCCUCAAACUGCAGGAAACCUCUGAACCAUCAAAACUAAAGCAUCAGCAUCUGUGCUUGUCUGAUCUACGACACAUAAAAUACACUUACUACAAAACAGCAUUUACAUUAAAGAAGCAAAAUCCUUCUUUUUAAAUUCCAUAUUUAUUUAUUAUCACAGUCAAAAUGGAUACAUAAAUAAAAAUAAGGUCAUAAAGUGAUUCAGCAGAGUGUUUUCCACAGCUGAGCGCAUUUGUGUGCGUGUACAGGCAGCCGCAUUCAACCAGGUGUGUCCAUCUUAAACACUUUUCCCAAACCUCCACAAGUGUCUCUCCAACCUUCCCCAAAUUAGAAAAUGCCUUGCAUAUCCUGUUAUCUGGUAAAAUUACAUUUCCGAAGUAGUUUUUAGAUGUUUGUUUAAGCAGAAAUAUUUGUAGAUAUCGGGAUUGUAGCAGCUAAGCGGAGACCGCUGAUGGAAACACGUGAGCGAGCGGACAGAGCCGAAUGCUUCCGAUUUAUCAGCUGCAAAAUUUAAAACUUAGCUUCAUUCUGUAAACAACCGUGUAUGAGAUGUAGUAUAAGCAUGUAACACGCGCAACAUUCCCGCAUGAACAUCACCCCGAAGAGCAUGCAAGGUUGGCGAGUAAUAAUAGAGGGAAUGGAUUUAUAUUUGCGGAGGUCUACUGCAACGCGUAAAAGUGUUCAUAACGCACAGGAACCCCUGGUAGUUAGGCUAACUUUUACAGUGUUAACUACUGCCUGCUCUCACACACUGUCACGAUAAUUCCAUAAAGUCGUGCAGAUGGAUGAUUUAUCUAAUUUGUUUAUCCCACCCCGACCCCCGACCCCUCCCCCUAACCCGAGCCUGCAGUCUACAGAGAAAUGGGGAAGUAUUUCCUAUUUUAUAAAACUCAGUUACAGUGCAAGCAGGAAAAUGUGGGGGGGUGCAGUACUACGUGCUUAAGUUUGUUAUUGUUGUCAUUUGUUAUUGACGUCAUAUGCCUUGAAAAGCUUGACCUCACGUGUCUCUCGUUACCUGUUCGUUUGAUAGGCUCUUUAAAAGCAGUUUUUACAUGGCUUUGCUUCAGAACGACUCUGUUCGAAUUGUGGGCAGUUUUAUUACAGAAUAGAAUUAAUAUAAUCAAAUAAA